GCCUGUGUACAGACUGCAUGCUGUUCUGUUCCUUUGUCCUCUUGCCAGAUCAUUUGAAGCACUUUCCUCUUCCCCUGGAUUUAUUGCUUGGCCUGGACUGUGACAAUCCUCUGACCCCUGUUUGGAGUCUUGUUCUGCUUCUGCUUGUCCCAGCCUGGACUCCUAGUUGUUGAGAUGCGCAGGCUUCACCUUCGACCAACCUGAUUUGAGUUUGUCAGAUGUGUUACCUCACCCCGCCGAGACCAGGCCAGCUGCUCCUCUCUCUUCUGCUCCUGUUCAUCAUGUUGGAGUCAGUGAAUAAAAGAAGAAGAAUGCAGGAGACCUGCAUGAGAAUAAUGGGAGAUGGGGAGGGUGGGUGUGAGUGGACUGAAUCAAGUCUAUCACAGUAGCCUGCAAGAGAGAGAGAUGGUUUUAUCAUCGCUGGCAUCUCUGUGUGUGACUACAAAUCUCGUGUAACUUUCCCAGUCUCUCCCUUCCCCUCCCACUCAUUCUCUACCACUUUGUUUUGUCUGCAUCGUUCCCCUGCUGCUGCCUGUCCUGCCAAAUCCCUGGGCAGUUUGGCUGGAAUAUCAAUGAAUCAGUCUCUAUUAAGCUCUUGUAUAUAUGAAGCUGCAAGUGAAGCAAAACCACAGUGCCUGAUGAAACUGAUGUGAGUGAGCAGCAGUGCCUCUGGUAAGGCACUAGACUCUCUGCUGGAGACCAGCAUGAGCUACUCUGGAGAGCUAGAGCUCAGACUUCAUUUGUUACUAUGCAAUAAUUAAGUUUUAUUCACAGGGAGGAUAGCUGAAGAAAAAAAAAGGUUAUAAAGAUAAAAUAGAGGUUGUCUCCAGGAGGGAGAUGGGAGGUGGGCAGGAGUCAGUGAAGUCCACUUGUGCUUUACAACACAGCCUGUGGGACUGGAACACCUCUGUGCAGCAUCACAUCCCAUUUCACACUAAAUUC